rnacentral:misc_RNA from 1 species
GCAAACUUGGUCAUUUAGAGGAAGUAAAAGUCGUAACAAGGUUUCCGUAGGUGAACCUGCGGAAGGAUCAUUAUUGAAUUUAAAUCUUGAUGAUGGGUUGUAGCUGGCUCUUCGGAGCAUGUGCACACUCGUCAUACACUAUUUAAUCCACCUGUGCACAAUCUGUAGUCUUGAAAGAGAUUAGAAUGACUUGAACCUUUAACCUGAUCGGCAUCCGUCGGAGUCCGGGAUUGCUAUACGAAAGUAUGGCUAUCUUUGAACUUGAAGGCAAAGGUUAUGACUUACUUUCGAGUCUAUGUGUCUUAUACACUACAUAGUAUGUCGCAGAAUGUAUUGAAUGGGCCUUUGUGCCUAUAUAAAUCAUAUACAACUUUCAGCAACGGAUCUCUUGGCUCUCGCAUCGAUGAAGAACGCAGC